rnacentral:rRNA from 1 species
GAGCGGCGGACGGGUGAGUAAUGCCUAGGAAAUUGCCCUGAUGUGGGGGAUAACCAUUGGAAACGAUGGCUAAUACCGCAUGAUGCCUACGGGCCAAAGAGGGGGACCUUCGGGCCUCUCGCGUCAGGAUAUGCCUAGGUGGGAUUAGCUAGUUGGUGAGGUAAGGGCUCACCAAGGCGACGAUCCCUAGCUGGUCUGAGAGGAUGAUCAGCCACACUGGAACUGAGACACGGUCCAGACUCCUACGGGAGGCAGCAGUGGGGAAUAUUGCACAAUGGGCGCAAGCCUGAUGCAGCCAUGCCGCGUGUAUGAAGAAGGCCUUCGGGUUGUAAAGUACUUUCAGUCGUGAGGAAGGUGGUGUCGUUAAUAGCGGCAUCAUUUGACGUUAGCGACAGAAGAAGCACCGGCUAACUCCGUGCCAGCAGCCGCGGUAAUACGGAGGGUGCGAGCGUUAAUCGGAAUUACUGGGCGUAAAGCGCAUGCAGGUGGUUUGUUAAGUCAGAUGUGAAAGCCCGGGGCUCAACCUCGGAAUAGCAUUUGAAACUGGCAGACUAGAGUACUGUAGAGGGGGGUAGAAUUUCAGGUGUAGCGGUGAAAUGCGUAGAGAUCUGAAGGAAUACCGGUGGCGAAGGCGGCCCCCUGGACAGAUACUGACACUCAGAUGCGAAAGCGUGGGGGAGCAAACAGAUUAGAUACCCUGGUAGUCCACGCCGUAAACGAUGUCUACUUGGAGGUUGUGGCCUUGAGCCGUGGCUUUCGGAGCUAACGCGUUAAGUA